UACGUAGGGUGCGAGCGUUGUCCGGAAUUAUUGGGCGUAAAGAGCUUGUAGGCGGUUUGUCGCGUCUGCUGUGAAAAUCCGGGGCUCAACCCCGGACUUGCAGUGGGUACGGGCAGACUGGAGUGUGGUAGGGGAGACUGGAAUUCCUGGUGUAGCGGUGGAAUGCGCAGAUAUCAGAAGGAACACCGGUGGCGAAAGCGACUCUCUGGUUCACUGCUGACGCUGAGGUGCGAAAGCUAGGGGAGCAAACGGG
rnacentral:rRNA from 1 species